GACGGAGGGUGCUAGCGUUGUUCGGAAUCACUGGGCGUAAAGGGCGCGUAGGCGGCCUUGCAAGUCGGUUGGUGAAAGCCCGGGGCUCAACCCCGGAGGUGCGGCCGAGACUUCAGGGCUGGAGGCCGGAAGAGGAGGGUGGAAUACCCAGUGUAGAGGUGAAAUUCGUAGAUAUUGGGUGGAACACCGGUGGCGAAAGCGGCUCUCUGGUCCGGACCUGACGCUGAGGCGCGAAAGCGUGGGGAGCAAACAGG
rnacentral:rRNA from 1 species